UUUCAUUGUAAAUUUGUGAAUAACUUCUGAUAAUUUAAUUGUUGGAAUUUUAUCAGAAAUUACUUUUUGAAAAUAUGUUGAUAUAUUUUACUAAGUUUCCAACAAAAUGUGUGAUGAACCAUUUAUCAACUUUUGUUGGAAUAUCACAUGUUUUCUUGUAGUGGGUGAGGGAUAUCUCACAGGAUACUAACUAUUCAGGUUUUCGUUGUUUUGUUGAUGGAUCAUGGACAGAAAGUGAUCAGUUUUCAAGGUAAGGAUGGUGUUGUACAUAUUCAUCAGGAGAGUCACCAACCAUGGGCGCCGAUAAUAUUCGUAGAAGUCUAUGUCCUCUACAUACAGAAGUGGAAGCUCUUCUUUGGGCGAUGAAGUGUAUGAUUUGAGUAGACAACCAAGACGUAGCUUUCUUUAUAGACUGUUCAGAUUUGGUGAAGAUGGUGUCUUCCCAACCGAUUGGCCGACAUUUACUGUGUAUUUGGAGGAAUUGCAAAAAGCGACAAGGACGAAUUCACAAACUUCUCUUUAUCUUUAAUUUCUCGUAGUGCUAAUGUAAAAGUGAAUAAUUUGGCGCGGAAGAUCCGCACCGAAUCGCAUCAUGUCAUAUAUGUAAAUAAUAUCCCCCGAGAUUGGCUCGUUUGAUCUUUAAUUAAUUUUGGAUGACAAAAAAAAGAAAUUUGAAGCUCAUGUGGCGUAUGUUUUAAAAAUGCUGAUGUGGACACAUAGAGAAAUCUCAAUGAGCUUCUUUUAUUAGUAGUAGAUUAUUUAUUGUAAAUUAUGAGAAUUGUUAUAUAGGCAAUUUUACUACGGACAAUUUAUUUCAGCCCUUGUUAGAUCCACGAAAGACGACACCUUUUUCUGUUUCUCCAUGCUUUGGAUGGUCACCUUCAAUUAUUAUCUCUGCGUAGAAUCCUGGCGAUCGGCUAUAAUUUUACAUAGUUGGAGAUCUCCUGCACACUUGUCUUCAUUGAUCUGCAAAUCUGCUAAUAAUUCUCAAUAUUUUGGAUACGUACUUCAUAUAUCUAGAUGUAGAAGCAUUAAUGAACUAUUGGUCAACCAAUAGACAAAGGGUUCCACACUUGCCAAAAUAAACAACAUUCCAAAAUAACUCUCUAAGAAUUUGUUUACCAAAAUAGCUAAGUAGCAAAAUAAACAACAUAUCAAAAUAACUACUAACUAGCAAAAGUAGAAGACACUCCAACAUGACUCACUAGCCAAAAUAAU
rnacentral:sRNA from 1 species